rnacentral:rRNA from 1 species
GUAGUCCACGCCGUAAACGAUGAAUACUAGGUGUAGGGGUUGUCAUGACCUCUGUGCCGCCGCUAACGCAUUAAGUAUUCCGCCUGGGGGAGUACGGUCGCAAGAUUAAAACUCAAAGGAAUUGACGGGGGCCCGCACAAGCAGCGGAGCAUGUGGUUUAAUUCGAAGCAACGCGAAGAACCUUACCUAGACUUGACAUCUCCUGCAUUACCCUUAAUCGGGGAAGUUCCUUCGGGGACAGGAAGACAGGUGGUGCAUGGUUGUCGUCAGCUCGUGUCGUGAGAUGUUGGGUUAAGUCCCGCAACGAGCGCAACCCUUAUUGUUAGUUGCUACCAUUUAGUUGAGCACUCUAGCGAGACUGCCCGGGUUAACCGGGAGGAAGGUGGGGAUGACGUCAAAUCAUCAUGCCCCUUAUGUCUAGGGCUACACACGUGCUACAAUGGCAAGUACAAAGAGAAGCGAGACCGCGAGGUGGAGCAAAACUCAAAAACUUGUCUCAGUUCGGAUUGUAGGCUGAAACUCGCCUACAUGAAGCUGGAGUUGCUAGUAAUCGCGAAUCAGCAUGUCGCGGUGAAUACGUUCCCGGGCCUUGUACACACCGCCCCGUCACACCAUGAGAGUUGGCAAUACCCAACGUACGUGAUCUAACCCGCAAGGGAGGAAGCGUCCUAAGGUAGGGUCAGCGAUUGGGGUGAAGUCGUAACAAGGUAGCCGUAGGAGAACC